rfam:Drosophila ananassae strain TSC#14024-0371.13 Ctg01_18835, whole genome shotgun sequence.
GCCUCCGUGGCGCAAUCGGUUAGCGCGUUCGGUUGUUAACCGAAAGGUUGGUGGUAGGAGUCCACCCGGGGGCG